ACUACGGGAGGCAGCAGUGAGGAAUAUUGGUCAAUGGCCGAAAGGCUGAACCAGCCAUGCCGCGUGAAGGUCAGUGCCCUAUGGGCGUUAAACUUCUUUUGUGCGGGAGCAAUAAUGGUCACGUGUGGCCAGACGAGAGUACCGUACGAAUAAGCAUCGGCUAACUCCGUUCCAGCAGCCGCGGUAAUAAGGGGGAUGCAAGCGUUAUCCGGGUUUAUUGGGUUUAAAGGGUGCGUAGGCUGUGAGGUAAGGCAGCGGUGAAAUGCCACCGGUUAACGGGGUGAAGUGCCAUUGAUACUGGCUGGCUGGAAUGCGGAUGCGGUGGGAGGAAUGGGUGGUGUAGCGGUGAAAUGCAUAGAUAUCACACAGAACACCGAUUGCGAAGGCAUCUCACGAAGCCGCGAUUGACGCUGAUGCACGAAAGCGUGGGUAUCAAACAGGAUUAGAUACCCCGGUAGUC
rnacentral:rRNA from 1 species